AUUUAUAUCACAUCUCCUCUCUUCUGACUCAAAUUAUUUAUAUCUUCAUAACAAGAUCUAAGCAAAAAUUUGUAAGAUUUGGGAGAAGAAGGCGGGGCUUAGCAGUGAGAAGACGGAGUUUCAGGCCAUUCCUGAAAUUCCCCUAUUCCGGAAGAAAUGGACGGGUCGUUUACGAUCCUAGCUGUCCCGGAGAGACAGUGAAGGUUUGGGGAGAUCCAGUGACCUCAGAGACGUUCGCAGGUCUCGGGGGGGCUCGGAUUUCAACCCCUUUUAACAUCCCUUUCUGGAUUAGCUGUAUGCUAACUGAAACUGCAGGCAGCCCCUAAGAAUGGUAAAAGUGUUUCCAAC